ensembl:lncRNA
AUGAAUUUGACAAGACAGAGGCAGUAGCACAGCUGUUCCAAGCAUCUGAGCUUCGGGUGCUUCGACAGACAACUUCUGAAACAUUGAUUAGUAGUGUAAUGACAAAAACUGGUCUCCAUUGAUAAGAAACAACACAGCAAUUGUUAGUUUAUGUAACUUAUACUGAGCAUACAGCCAGAUAAGCAUAAAUGAAACAUCCUACCACAAUCAAUUGCGAUGGAAAUCAGAGCAGACCUCUCCAGGUCAGCCUUGCACAUCCCGAUGAGAGUGAUCCUAUAAAGUUCUAGGAGAGCACUUCUCCUCCCUUUCCC